UGUCAUGUCUUGUCACGCCACAUCCAGUGUAGCAUCACUGGUUAUAAUGAGUUCUAUAGUAUUUUGUCGUAUCGCGCCGCGCCACUCACGUCGGGUAGACAGGGUAUAACAUUGCUUUUGCUUU